rnacentral:rRNA from 1 species
GACGAACGCUGGCGGCGUGCUUAACACAUGCAAGUCGAACGGAAAGGCCCUGCUUUUGUGGGGUGCUCGAGUGGCGAACUGGUGAGUAACACGUGAGUAACCUGCCCUUGACUUUGGGAUAACUUCAGGAAACUUGGGCUAAUACCGGAUAGGAGCUCCUGCUGCAUGGUGGGGGUUGGAAAGUUUCGGCGGUUGGGGAUGGACUCGCGGCUUAUCAGCUUGUUGGUGGGGUAGUGGAUUACCAAGGCUUUGACGGGUAGCCGGCCUGAGAGGGUGACCGGCCACAUUAGGACUGAGAUACGGCCCAGACUCCUACGGGAGGCAGCAGUGGGGAAUAUUGCACAAUGGGCGGAAGCCUGAUGCAGCAACGCCGCGUGCGGGAUGACGGCCUGCGGGUUGUAAACCGCUUUCGCCUGUGACGAAGCGUGAGUGACGGUAAUGGGUAAAGAAGCACCGGCUAACUACGUG